UUUUACCCGCUGCAUGUAAAUUAACUGCUUGCCCUGCAUUAAAGACUUGUAAAUGCACAACGCUGAGGCAAAGAACCCCAAACCCCAUUUAAAAUCCUUUAAUGCACAGCAAGUCAUUGAUUAUCCCACUUAUUCCACGGUCAUUUGCCAAGUUAUAGACAAGUUAAAACUAGUUUUGCUCUUUGUAGCUUAAAAUUUGAUAGAAUGGGUAAAAAUAACAGUUAUUUCCAGGAGCUCCUCUUUUUUGUAAACAACUGAUCUGUCUUUUAUAAAUCUGAUAUAAAAGACUCUUCUGAGAUUUGAAGGAUGCACACUACUAUUCGAUAGGUAGGCUACUCAAGUUUAACCAAACUGUUCGUGGACCCCGUUUACUUCCAUAGUAUUACUUUUCCAAUUCCUGCUAUAGAAGUGAAUGGGAUCCAAAGACAUUUAUGCAGGUUUGUAACAACAUGAGGGUGAGUAAAUGAUGACAGAGUUUUCAUUUUUGGGUGAACUAUUUAACCUUUUAUAGCUUAGCAGAAAAAUGUUAUGUGACCUUUAAGAAUAGGAUAAAGUACAUCUUUAACAAAAGCAAAGAUUAAAAAACAAAUUGUAGAAUAAAUAGAAAGUGCUACAAAACAAUACAAAAUCGUCCCACUAUCACAUGCAGAUGUGUCACUUUGCAAUGGGGCAAUGAUGAAUAGUACACAGAACAACCAAAUAAGUUUUUACGAUUUAUAAACAAUUUAAAGAUAUUUUAAAGUGUUAUGUACUGUUCUAAUUCCAGAGAUGUUUAUUUAUGUAAAUGGUGUGAGGCUUUACCAUGUAUAUAAUAGGCCAAUGGCUAUGCUGUGCACGCGAAACAUGUCCUGCCCCUUUAAAUCACGAAGGGAGUUACCAUGGAAACUGAAGGAGCACGAGGACAGCUAGCUCCGUCUCCCGCGGUUUCUUCGCUGUUUUCAAGUAAGUUUAGUCCAUCAAAUCACACAAAUAAUACUAAAACCUGUUGUUGACACGCUUUUGUUAUAUAUUUACCUCAUAUAAAUGGCUUGUGUCUUUGAGAAAAGUUCGUUACCAUCCCAACAUGUUUCCGCACAUGCGGUCGGAACUGUGCUUCCGGUUUCUGUUGGUUUACUUGCUAAACUGAUCUCUUGAAAAAAUAACUCGUCGAAAAUAUUUUUUUGUUUCCAAUGUAAUAUACGUGUUGUUAAUUUGCUUGUUAUAAGCUAGGACUUUGUUGUUAUUUUUGCUUAGCAGAGUUUAACGGAAGUUACGUGUUUUCCACAAAAGCCUCUUUACUGUAUGUAUGUUACUGCUGAAACCGUCUAUAAGCGUUAGCUUUUGCUCUUGUUUAUGAACGUUUGGGCUUUUGAAAACAUAGAUGAGAGGUUUCAAAGUCUUUGUUAACGUUGUCAGUGCAUGACUGGAAGUACGCAAAUUUAUUUAGUCUAAAUAUGCGAUGUACUGUAACGUCUAAACUAGGGGUGUCAACAAUAAUCGAUUCGGCAAUGCAUCGCAAUGCGGGCAUGCACGAUUCAGCAUCGAUGCAGCAAAGUGCCAUAAUCGAUUAUGUAUGUCACUGUUUAUUUUCUGGCCUCGAGUGGACAAUAAAGUUGUUUCAAUUACUUCCGGGAGCAUAACAACAACAAUCAAGAUGGCUGAGGCGGAGAGAGAUGACAGUGAUAGACAGGAGUGACAAAAACCCUCUAUAAUAGAAGAGAAGCUCAAGAUUUCAACAUUUUCUGAAGGGAGUUGCAGACAGGUGUAGAAAACUGCUUUUCAAAUUUUCCACAUUUAUCACAGUUAUUUUAAGAUGUUGACAUCUAAACAUUGAAUGUUAUGUUUGUAGAUUUGUCCAUGCUAAUGGCCGAGCAGUAGGGUUGGAACAGACCUGUCAGAAAACAUCUCUGAACCAUAUGACUAAUUUCAAAACAAUUUAUUCUUGAGAGGAGGCACCACAGUUAAAGACAGUGUUUUGAAGAAUUUUGAACUUCCUGCUCACAAACUACCUACUUCUCCAGUUAGUCUGACAGGCUAUCAAUGAGAAUGCGGCAUUACAGGACACCACUGAAAACUAUACCACUAAAAACUGAUUAUUGCUGCAGUCAGAAGAAACAGAUUAACAGCAACUAUCUGCUUGAGACCAAGAGAUUGAGCACUGGGUUAAGACAUGGUUGCAGCUUGCCACAGACAGAGAUGAAGGUCGUUGGGCAAAAGAGAAGAUUUAAAGGCAUAGCUCACCCAAAAAUGGAAACUCAUUUACUUACCAUCAAGAUGUUUCAAACUCUAUCAAAUGUAUUUGUUCAGUUACUGACUGUUAUAAAUUAUACAGGUUUGGAACAACCUUUGGGUGAGCAAAAUUACAGUUUUAAUUUUAAUUAGUGAACUAUCCCUAUUGUGAGUUUUAUAAGUUUAUUAAGAAAUGUUGAGUAUUAUAUCAGAGUUCUGUAUGUAAGGAGAUGGUAGUUGUACGUUUGUGUGUUAAUAUAGAUGGUUUCAGUGGCAACAACAUAAAUCACUUUCAUGGCCCAAACUUAACUUCGGGUAGACCUCCACAUAGAUUCAAUAACAACCGAGUAUCUCUGGAGCAGUUUUUUUUCUGAUAACAAACAAAAUAAAUAACCAGUAAAUAGCCUUAGAUCAAAUCAUAGCUAAAGCAUUUCAACCAUUACAUUGAUCUAAUGUUACUGGGUAAAAUUAAGCUUUACAAUUUUAGCUACAGAUCUUUGAAAAUGUUUGUACGGUAUACUGCCCAUUUCCAGAAAGGUAAUAAAAACAGCGUGCACAGUGACGCUGCUGACGUGUUAUCCUCAGACAUGUUUGUGAAGAUUGUUUUGUUUAUAGUGUGCGUCUCCCUCAGACUGUAAAAAAAGCUUGGGCAAACAAGAUAACAUGUCAGCAGCGUCACUCCAGUGUUGUGCACGAGGUUCACAACAGACCUGGAAGAGAAGACGAUGCUGAAUAAAGUCAUAAUUUCUGUUAUUUUUGGACCAAAAUUUAUUUUCGAUGCUUCAACACAUUCUAACUGACCCACUGAUAUCACAUGGACUACUUUGAUGAUGUACAGUAUAUAUUUGAUCGUGUAUACACAUAUCUAAAACAUCUUAAACUGUUUCCGAAGAUGAACGGAGGUGUUACGGGUUUGGAAUGACAUGAGGGUCAUUAAUUACAUAAUUUUCAUUUUGGAUGAAAUAACCCUUUAAGUUUGGCCAGGUGUGUAACUGUGGCAACGCACAUGCAUCUAUGGGUUCCAGUAUAUCUUACUAUAUAACAUAUUAAUUUAACUAACAUGUUUGACAAAUAUAAUUAUGUUUAUUUAUAAAUAUUAUCUGUAUUGGAUUUUUUAAAUGUUUAAUAAAGAAAUUUUGACUAUAUGAGUUUUAGUUUUUUCUUAACUAUAGGUUAAUUAGCAUAUAGUAAGAGUAGAUGUGUGCCACAGCUUAGAAGACGCUACUGCAUGGAAUGACAGCA